rnacentral:rRNA from 1 species
CCUGCAGUGGGUACGGGCAGACUAGAGUGCGGUAGGGGAGAUUGGAAUUCCNNNGUGUAGCGGUGGAAUGCGCAGAUAUCAGGAGGAACACCGAUGGCGAAGGCAGAUCUCUGGNNNNNNNACUGACGCUGAGGAGCGAAAGGGUGGGGAGCAAACAGGCUUAGAUACCCUGGUAGUCCACCCCGUAAACGUUGGGAACUAGUUGUGGGGACCAUUCCACGGAUUCCGUGACGCAGCUAACGCAUUAAGUUCCCCGCCUGGGGAGUACGGCCGCAAGGCUAAAACUCAAAGGAAUUGACGGGGACCCGCACAAGCGGCGGAGCAUGCGGAUUAAUUCGAUGCAACGCGAAGAACCUUACCAAGGCUUGACAUAUACGAGAACGGGCCAGAAAUGGUCAACUCUUUGGACACUCGUAAACAGGUGGUGCAUGGUUGUCGUCAGCUCGUGUCGUGAGAUGUUGGGUUAAGUCCCGCAACGAGCGCAACCCUCGUUCUAUGUUGCCAGCACGUAAUGGUGGGAACUCAUGGGAUACUGCCGGGGUCAACUCGGAGGAAG